GAAUUCGCCCUUAGAGUUUGAUCCUGGCUCAGGAUGAACGCUGGCGGCGUGCCUAACACAUGCAAGUCGAACGGAGUUCUUAAGGAAUGCGACUUCGGUCAAAUGACUUUUGAACUUAGUGGCGGACGGGUGAGUAACGCGUGAGCAACCUGCCUUUCAGAGGGGGAUAACAUUUGGAAACAGAUGCUAAUACCGCAUAAGAUUACAGUACCGCAUGAUACAGUGAUCAAAGGAGCAAUCCGCUGAAAGAUGGGCUCGCGUCCGAUUAGAUAGUUGGUGAGGUAACGGCUCACCAAGUCGACGAUCGGUAGCCGGACUGAGAGGUUGAACGGCCACAUUGGGACUGAGACACGGCCCAGACUCCUACGGGAGGCAGCAGUGGGGAAUAUUGCACAAUGGGCGAAAGCCUGAUGCAGCAACGCCGCGUGAGGGAAGACGGUUUUCAGAUUGUAAACCUCUGUUUUCGGUGACGAAUAAAUGACGGUAACCGAGUAGGAAGCCACGGCUAACUACGUGCCAGCAGCCGCGGUAAUACGUAGGUGGCAAGCGUUAUCCGGAAUUACUGGGUGUAAAGGGAGCGCAGGCGGGAUAGCAAGUCAGUUGUGAAAACUAUGGGCUCAACCCAUAGAUUGCAGUUGAAACUGUUAUUCUUGAGUGGAGUAGAGGCAAGCGGAAUUCCGAGUGUAGCGGUGAAAUGCGUAGAUAUUCGGAGGAACACCAGUGGCGAAGGCGGCUUGCUGGGCUCUAACUGACGCUGAGGCUCGAAAGUGUGGGGAGCAAACAGGAUUAGAUACCCUGGUAGUCCACACUGUAAACGAUGAUUGAUAGGUGUGGGGGGGCCUGACCCCUUCCGGGCCGGAAGUUAACGAAAUAAGCAA
rnacentral:rRNA from 1 species